CCUACGGGAGGCAGCAGUGGGGAAUAUUGCACAAUGGGGGAAACCCUGAUGCAGCGACGCCGCGUGAGUGAAGAAGUAAUUCGUUAUGUAAAGCUCUGUCAGCAGGGAAGAAAAUGACGUUACCUGAUUAAGAAUCCCCUGCUAACUACUUGCCAGCAGCCGCGGUAAUACGUAGGGGGCAAGCGUUAACCGGAUUUACUGGGUGUAAAGUGAGCGGAGAUGGCAGUGCAAGUCUGGAGUGAAAGGCGGGGGCUCAACCCCCGGACUGCUCUGGAAACUGUACGGCUGGAGUGCAGGAGAGGUAAGUGGAAUUCCAAGUGUAGCGGUGAAAUGCGUAGAUAUUAGGAGGAACACCAGUGGCGAAGGCGACUUACUGGAAUGUAACUGACGUUGAGGCUCGAAAGCGUGGGGAGCAAACAGGAUUAGAUACCCCGGUAGUC
rnacentral:rRNA from 1 species